UACACAUGCAGUCGACGAUGAAGCCCAGCUUGCUGGGUGGAUUAGUGGCGAACGGGUGAGUAACACGUGAGUAACCUGCCCUUGACUCUGGGAUAAGCGCUGGAAACGGCGUCUAAUACCGGAUACGACCUGCCCCGGCAUCGGGUGCGGGUGGAAAGUUUUUCGGUCAAGGAUGGACUCGCGGCCUAUCAGCUUGUUGGUGAGGUAAUGGCUCACCAAGGCGACGACGGGUAGCCGGCCUGAGAGGGUGACCGGCCACACUGGGACUGAGACACGGCCCAGACUCCUACGGGAGGCAGCAGUGGGGAAUAUUGCACAAUGGGCGAAAGCCUGAUGCAGCAACGCCGCGUGGGGGAUGACGGCCUUCGGGUUGUAAACCUCUUUUAGUAGGGAAGAAGGACUUCGGUUUGACGGUACCUGCAGAAAAAGCACCGGCUAACUACGUGCCAGCAGCCGCGGUAAUACGUAGGGUGCAAGCGUUGUCCGGAAUUAUUGGGCGUAAAGAGCUCGUAGGCGGUUUGUCGCGUCUGCUGUGAAAACCCGAGGCUCAACCUCGGGCCUGCAGUGGGUACGGGCAGACUAGAGUGCGGUAGGGGAGAAUGGAAUUCCUGGUGUAGCGGUGGAAUGCGCAGAUAUCAGGAGGAACACCGAUGGCGAAGGCAGUUCUCUGGGCCGUUACUGACGCUGAGGAGCGAAAGCGUGGGGAGCGAACAGGAUUAGAUACCCUGGUAGUCCACGCCGUAAACGUUGGGAACUAGAUGUGGGG
rnacentral:rRNA from 1 species